AUCUUUUUAGUACAAGACAAGUAUAAUUGGCCUCCAACCAAAAGAUUAAAAAUUUAAAAAGAUA
rnacentral:tRNA from 1 species